ensembl:snRNA U6 U6 spliceosomal RNA
GUGUUUGCUUCAGCAGCAUGUGUACUAAAUUGAAAUGAUAGAGAUUAGCAUGGCCUCUGCACAAGAAUGACAAACAAAUUCUUGAAGAGCGCCAUAAUUUU